rnacentral:lncRNA from 1 species
UCAACUUACAGCGAGCUAUACACCACAACAGAAUGGGAUUUCUGAAAGGAAGAGCAGGACAAUAGUCGAAAUGGCCAUAGUAUGUUGAAAGGAAAAAAUUUACCAAAAGUACUUUGGGCAAAGGCAGUGGCAUGUGCUGUUUACAUUUUAAACAAGUGUCCCACAAAAAGUGUUCGUGAUAUGAUACCUAAAGAGGCAUGAGCAACCAUAAGCCGAUGUUCAAGCUCUUCGAGACUUUGGUUGCAUUGCAAACGAAAAAAAUUUGAUGGUAAAGGUACAAAAUGCAUUUUUAUUGGUUAUAGUAAUACAACUUAAGGCUAUAAAUUGUUUAAUCAAGAAAAAGGUAAAGUGAUUGUGAUUGUGAGCAGGGAUGCAGAAUUUGAUGAAACUAAGGCUUGGGUAUGGACAAGUAAAGAGGAGAAGCAAGUGGGGAUUAAUCCGGAUGAACCUAAUAUUAGUAACAUACAGUCUAAUAUUCAGAUUUUCUGCACUAUAGAUCAUUCUAUUUCUUCUUUGACUCAUAUUGAAGUGCCUCAUGGUUCAAUAAAUGGCGUGUUGUGCCAGCUCAUUUGCAAGAUUAUAUUGUAACCAAUGAUAAUGAUGUUUUUGAUAAGGAAUUAGUACAUUUUGCAUUAUUUGUAGAUUGUGAUCCUCUUACUUUUGUAGAAGCAUCUCAAGAUGAUAAAUGGAUUUGUGUUAUGGAAGAAGAAAUUCAUUCAAUAGUUAAAAAUGAUAUAUGGGAGCUAACUUCUUUGCCACAGGGAAAGAAAUCAAUUGGUGUAAAAUGGGUUUACAAAACAAAGUCCAAACUAAAUGGUCAAGUCGGUCAGUUGAAGGCUCAUUUGGUUGUGAAAGGGUACAAACGGAAAACAUGCAUUGACUAUUAUGAAGCUUUCACAUCUGUAGCUUGACUUGAUACUAUUCGUAGUGUGAUUGCACUAGCUGCUCAAAAGAAAUGGCAGAUACAUUAGAUGGAUGUGAAAUCUGCAUUUCUAAAUGGUUUUCUUGAAGAAGAGAUCUAUGUCAAUUAGCCAGAUGGUUAUGUGCAGAAAGCUCAUGAAGGAAAAGUUCUCAAAUUAAAAAAAAAAAAAAAGAAAAAGAAAAGGCUUUCUACGGGUUAAAACAAGCGCCAAGGGCUUGGUACAUUCGGACUGACACAUAUUUCCAUAAAAAUGGUUUUCUUAAAUGUCCUUAUGAACCCACACUAUAUAUCAAAUCUAAUAUAAUUAUUAUAUGUUUGCAUGUGGAUGAUUUGAUUUUUACAGGAGAUGAUCCAAGUAUGUUUGCAGAAUUUAGGGAGGCCAUGACUAGCAACUUUGAAAUGAUUGAUAUGGGACUCAUAUCUUAUUUUCUUGGACUAGAAGUGAUGAAGACUAAUGGAAGAAUAUUUAUCUCACAAAAGAAACAUGCAUCAAACAUUCUUAAACGAUUCAAGAUGGAAUCAUGCAAUCCCAUCAAAACUCCUGUUCAAGAAAGAUCUCAUUUGGAUAAAAAUGCAAUGGUAAAUUUGUUGAUCUAACUUACUUUCGAAGUCUGGUAGAUAGUCUACGUUAUCUAACCUUUAUUAGACCUGAUAUCACAUUUGGAGUUGGUAUAAGCUGAUUUAUAGAAACACCAAGCUAAUCUCAUCUACAAAUUGCAAAGCAAAUCCUGUAAUACAUAAAAGGUACUCAAAGUCAAGGUAUCUUUUAUUCAUCUCUUGAUAAUUGCAACCUUGUUGGGUACACAGAUGGUGAUUGGGCAGUGAUCUUGAAGAAAGGAAGAGUAUGUCUGGCUUUGUAUUUCACAUGGGUUAAGGAGCAAUAUCUUGGUCAUCAAAGAAGCAACAGGUUGUUACCCUUUCCACUACCGAAGCAGAGUAUAUUGUAGCUGUCUCUACAGCAUGUCAUGCUGUUUGGUUGCGUAGAUUGCUAGAGGAAUUAAAUCAGAAACAAAUAACUCCUACGAAGAUUUCUAUGAUAACAAAUCAACUAUUUUCUUGACUAAAGAUUUAGUCUUCCAUGGGAGAAGUAAACACAUCGACAUCAAAUUUCAUCAUAUUCAUGAACUUGUCAAAGAACGGGAAGUAGCUGUUGAAUUCUGUAAAUCCGAAGAUCAAUUGGCCGACGUUCUUACGAAGCCAUUGAAAGCUGAAUUUUUUUUACAAGUUGAAGAACAUGAUGGAGAUGAUUAGUUUUGAGAAUAUGAGUUUAAGGGAGGCUGUUGGAAAUUAAACUCAAACGUCCCUUUUUCUUUUAGUUGAGCCACAUUGAUGUUGAAUAAGUCCUUAUAGGUUAUUUAGAAUUUGUUUUUUCAGUUUAUUGUUAUGCCAAUAAAGUAGGGGCUUUAGUGGGUCAAUUAGCUGCGAUUUUUU